rnacentral:tRNA from 1 species
GCGGGAAUAGCUCAGUGGUAGAGCAUCAGCCUUCCAAGCUGAGGGCCGCGGGUUCGAUCCCCGUUUCCCGCUCCA